CGGCUCUCCGGAGGCCAGGCAUCACCUCCCUCCUGCACAGCCCCGAGGCAAACAGCACAACGCCACAAUGCCAGAGCCGUAAGUAGCAGGAGCUUCCCUCGGAUUUCACUAAAUCCUCACCUGGCUGCUGGGCUGUUCGUGCCGGCUGAGCUUGUCCAUUUUUGGAGGGGUUCAGCUGGGAGACCGGCCCAUGCUCAAGACCUCUGUGCCAUUCCCCUUGCGGAAACUAUCUUUAAAUAAAAAUUGUUAGCGA